AUUAAAUAAUCCGUUCACACUGUCUAAGAAUCAUUGUCCUAGAACUGUGUAUAUAUUUGUUGCAAGAAAGAAACACAUAAUAAUGCUGUCUUCUGGCUUGUGAUACCAUAAUGUCUUGUCGGUGACUACAGAUAUUUGGAGGAAGCUUGCUACCUCCAGGUGUGAGUCAAGUUUCAAUGUGGAUAGGCUAUACAAGAAGGGAGAAGGUAUCAACCUAUGGGGAACAAGAGAAAUAACUAAUCAGAGCCAGGGAUGUCGAGGAGAUUGAACCUGUCUGUACCAAUGGAAAUGGGAUGCAGGAACUGGCCAAAUUUUGUGUCAUGUAGCAGUGACUAUUAUGAGAGCCAUAUAAACAGGAUGUAGGCGUGCAUUUCAAAGAAUACAUUCUGUAUCUUUGGUACAUAGGGAUGACUUUAUUCCAUAUGAAAAUAAACUUUCUUUUGCUGAAAAAUCCUACCUUUAAAAUACAACUGGAUAAAAGAUGUUAUUAAAAAUCAUACAUAAGGGUUAUAGCCAACCCAGUUCAUAAAAUAAAACUAUUAGUCACUCAUCUUCUUUGAUACAUUAUAAAAAGGACAGUGUCACACAACAGUCAAGCAUAAUAGCUGUCUGAGACAAAGAACAAACUAUUACAACAUUAGCUACA